AUUUUUCAAAGUUUUUUCUCCUGCCUCUUUUCUCUCUUUCUUUUUCUUUCUUCCUCCUUUUCUUUUUCUUCUUACUGCUUCCCUCUUUUGUUCGUUCCUUUUCUUUAUUUAUUUAUUUUUUUUUCGGAUUGAGAGAUCGGGAGAGGGAGAUUGAGAGAUCGGGAGCGGGAGAUCAGAGAGGUCGAGGGAGAUCGAGGGAGAGGGAGAAUUUUCUGGUGGGUCGGCCGCCGCUGCAGAGGACGCCGACGCCGGCGAGUCACGGUUGAUGCCGGCGACGCCAGAGAGGGGUUUUUUCGGCGUUUUCCCGGAACCCAAACAGUGGGUUUCGGAUUUUUGGGCAAAUAGCUUCUCAGAUUUUCAAGAAAACAUCCAGCAAAUGAGCUCCCUUCUUCUCUCAUCAAGCCAUUGCAGAUUGAAAGAGUUGGUGUACAAGUUCAUUGAGCCGCUGCUUAGAGACCUCUAUCUUCAUCGCACUUCUACCGGUGACUUCGACUAUGUUCUUGGUUGUGCGUGGUUACGGAUUGGGGGAUUAGGCUUUCAUCUCUUGCUUAGCUGUGAUGAUUUGGAUCCUGCCAUGAAAUUCUAUUGGAAGUCUUCACAGUCAGUAGAAAAGAUAACAUCGCUUAAGCUUGAGAUGCAGGUACGACAAGAAUGCAACUAUCUAGCAUGAUGGUUUUCUACAAGAGAAGCUGAUGAUAGAAGAGCACAUGCAUUAGAAAAUCUUCAAGUAGAGCUUAGAACGGCACAAAGAAAGGGUCAGCGAUGCUAAAGCAACUUCAUGCUCAUAAGACAGAGAAUCGACUGGAAAGGGGUCUGGUUGAAGGAGAGGAAAAUGUGAGACCUAUUCUUCUAUCUCACUUUUGGUUUGUUGCAUUCACAAUUAUAUUAUUACUUGUGAUAUGAAUAUAUGAUGACUGUGUAGGUUGUCAACUCAAUGACAAUUUUCUUAUUUUGGUAUA